CCCAUGCAGGCUGGCUCCGGCUGAGGGAGGGAAGCCAGCAGGCCCAGCAGCAUUCUGGACGAGUUUCUGAAUUACUUACUGGCUGGAGACCAGAGGCCGGAGCGGACCCGGGCUGGCCCUGCUGGCUGGGGCCCGAGGAGCCUUUCUCCUGGCUCUGAGGCCCGACCACCUCUUGUUUGCUCUCUGCCUGCCUGCUCAGAACUGCAGGCUCCUCUAAUGGCAUGCUGCUAAGCCUGCAGAUUUACAGAUGGGAGCACAACCACAGACUCAGGGGACCCACAGUCUAGCAGGGGAGGGCCGUGUGUCACCAGCCAGUGGACAUACAAUGAUGAAUGGAUCGAGGACCCACUGUGGAACCAGGACUCAAGGAAAGAGAAGCCCAAGAGCCACCUCACGCUUCCCAAAAGGCCGAGGAGAUAGACGCGGCAGCCUCCCAGACAUGGCAGAGGGGAAGGCACCGCGUCCCACCCACGUUCAUGGUAUGGCUCUUGGAGGACAGCUGCUCGAGGGCAGCCCCCUCCCAGUCCAAGAGUCCAGCCUGUUCUCAUGGCAGGGCAGGACAGAAGCAAAUGACUCCACAUCGGGAAGAUGCUUGGUACUGCUGGGGGAGAUGUGGGCAGGGGUGCAGUUACCGAGAAGCGGAAGAGGCUGAGCCGAGGGACCCUGAGUCAAUGAGGCCAUCUACUAAGGCCCUGGGAGGUUUGGAUGCUUAUACCAUUCUCAGCUUUUAGAAACACUGCCAUUUGUUAUGUCAUCCUAAAAAACACCCAUUUUCUAUACCUAACCUUGUAUUUGUAAAUUUGUAUUUUUUAAAGAGAAUCUCUGAAUUGUAUAAACUUAGCCCCCACAGAACCUGCUUCCCAGGCACACUGGCCCCCAGUCCCCCAGUGUGAUCUGCAUCACUGAAGCCAGAUGCAUUGCUGCUUUUUACAGACACCUAAUAAAAACUUGAUU